AACGAACGCUGGCGGCAUGCCUAAUACAUGCAAGUCGAACGAGAUCUUCGGAUCUAGUGGCGCACGGGUGCGUAACGCGUGGGAAUCUGCCCUUGGGUUCGGAAUAACUUCUGGAAACGGAAGCUAAUACCGGAUGAUGACGUAAGUCCAAAGAUUUAUCGCCCAAGGAUGAGCCCGCGUAGGAUUAGCUAGUUGGUGGGGUAAAGGCCCACCAAGGCGACGAUCCUUAGCUGGUCUGAGAGGAUGAUCAGCCACACUGGGACUGAGACACGGCCCAGACUCCUACGGGAGGCAGCAGUAGGGAAUAUUGGACAAGGGGCGAAAGCCUGAUCCAGCAAUGCCGCGUGAGUGAUGAAGGCCUUAGGGUUGUAAAGCUCUUUUACACGCGAUGAUAAUGACAGUACCGGGAGAAUAAGCUCCGGCUAAAUCCG
rnacentral:rRNA from 1 species